UAAAAUUUAUAAAAUUAGGUAGUAAAGGAAUUUCUGAAACCUAAAGAAUUUGGCGGUAUUUUAAAUAAUUGGAGGAACCUGUUAUUUAAUUGACAAUCCACAACAUAUCUCACCUAAAUUUUAUUUGUAUAUCGUCGUUUAAAUUAUAUUAAAAAAUUAUAAUUAAAUUUAAAAAAAUUUUAAAAUUCAGAUCAAGGUGCAGUAUAUUUAGGAUAUAAUGGGUUACAAUAUAAUAUAUAUAUAAUGAAUAUAAAUUUGAAAUUAUAUUGAAAGUGGAUUCAAAAGUAAAAUUAAAUUAAAAUGUUAAUUUGAUUUAUAAUUUAAAAUAUGC
rnacentral:rRNA from 1 species